AAGGAAGCUAUCUCUUUGCCUGUGACUUUUCAGUUGCCCAUGAAGAGGAGAGAGAGGGGCGUUUUUCAUGGAGAAGAAGAAACACAGAAGGGAAAAGGAAGAAUUUGAUAUCCCACGCACUUCUCUGUCUUCAAUGAUCAUGCACAUUGACGAAACAAAUUAAUGGGUGCAUGUACUACCAAGAUAUAAUCUAAUAUUAAGUGCAUAUACGACCUGAUAAUAUAUAUAGAUUCGAAUCCUCCUCUUUUAAUACUCCAAAAAAAAAAAAAAUCUAAGCAAUAUAAUAAAGAUUGUGAUAAAUUUGUAAACUAAUAUAUGUUAAUUUGAUAAGCUUUAAAGUUAAUUUU
rnacentral:lncRNA from 1 species